GCAGGAAUUUCAGAGAAGGAUCACGGAUAGGAAGAGAAUUGUUCUCGUGGGAAAUGGUGGAAUUGCCAGUGAGAUUGCCUACGCAGUGAAAGGUGUUACAAAUGAUUGGGUAGUCAGGGAUAAUCAAUCACAUUUCCUCCACAUUCCUUGAUCCAGGAGCUGCUGAAUUCUUUAAGAAGAAUCUGCAGGAAAAAGGCUCCAGUAUGGUGAAACGCAGGGAAAUUGUGGAGCAGCCUUGGGUACCGAUUGGCAUUGAAUGCCUGAUGUUUCCGGAAGUGGACGCAAUCUCCCGGAUUCCGUCAACAUUCACUAACUCUUGAGUGCGACUUUGUCGUUUCAGCAAGUGGUGUCAAUCCCAGAAUUGAUUACACGGUAGAUUCACCACUGGAGCGUGCCACAGACGGUGGGAUUUCAGUCAAUGAACUCAUGCGAGCAUCCCUGGUGGAUAUUUAUGCGGCUGGGGAUUGCUGUACGGCCACAUGGAAGCCAGCAGAGAAUUGGUUUGGCUCCUAAAAUGACAUAAAAUGGCUCUUUUCAGAGCCCAACAAA